rnacentral:rRNA from 1 species
AUUGAACGCUGGCGGCAGGCCUAACACAUGCAAGUCGAACGGUAGCACAGAGAGCUUGCUCUUGGGUGACGAGUGGCGGACGGGUGAGUAAUGUCUGGGAAACUGCCCGAUGGAGGGGGAUAACUACUGGAAACGGUAGCUAAUACCGCAUAACGUCUUCGGACCAAAGUGGGGGACCUUCGGGCCUCACACCAUCGGAUGUGCCCAGAUGGGAUUAGCUAGUAGGUGGGGUAAAGGCUCACCUAGGCGACGAUCCCUAGCUGGUCUGAGAGGAUGACCAGCCAAACUGGAACUGAGACACGGUCCAGACUCCUACGGGAGGCAGCAGUGGGGAAUAUUGCACAAUGGGCGCAAGCCUGAUGCAGCCAUGCCGCGUGUAUGAAGAAGGCCUUCGGGUUGUAAAGUACUUUCAGCGGGGAGGAAGGCGUUAAGGUUAAUAACCUUGGCGAUUGACGUUACCCGCAGAAGAAGCACCGGCUAACUCCGUGCCAACAGCCGCCGUAA